GGACUUAGGGUUUCUAAAAAUAGUUUAGGUUAUGGACUUGUUGGGCUUUGGGUUAUUGGGUUUGUAAAUUUUGGGGCUUUUGGGCCUUGUUAAUGGACUGGCGUAUUUUGUAAUUGGACGUGAGUUUUAUGAUUAUUAUUUUUUUGUUAUUUUUUGUUUAUUUAUUUCUUGUUUUGGGUCGGGAAAAAUUGGGCAUUUACAGCUGCCCCUCUUUGCUCAUUAACGUGUAACGGGAAUGAGGCAAAGACUUUAAGAAGGGACAAUUUUGUCUGGUCUUGCCGAAUAUCGACUUCUUUAGUGCUUCUCUUUUUCAAGUGCCUCAUUCCAGCCCGCUGCGACUUCAGUGGUAUAGGAAUUGUAGUUUUAAUCUACUCCAC
rnacentral:lncRNA from 1 species